GACGAACGCUGGCGGCGUGCUUAACACAUGCAAGUCGAACGGAAAGGCCCUGCUUUUGUGGGGUGCUCGAGUGGCGAACGGGUGAGCAACACGUGAGUAACCUGCCCUUGACUUUGGGAUAACUUCAGGAAACUGGGGCUAAUACCGGAUAGGAGCUCCUGCUGCAUGGUGGGGGUUGGAAAGUUUCGGCGGUUGGGGAUGGACUCGCGGCUUAUCAGCUUGUUGGUGGGGUAGUGGCUUACCAAGGCUUUGACGGGUAGCCGGCCUGAGAGGGCGACCGGCCACAUUGGGACUGAGAUACGGCCCAGACUCCUACGGGAGGCAGCAGUGGGGAAUAUUGCACAAUGGGCGGAAGCCUGAUGCAGCAACGCCGCGUGCGGGAUGACGGCCUUCGGGUUGUAAACCGCUUUCGCCUGUGACGAAGCGUGAGUGACGGUAAUGGGUAAAGAAGCACCGGCUAACUACGUG
rnacentral:rRNA from 1 species